UCCGAGUUGACCCCGGCGGUCUCCCGUGAGUCCCCAGCACCACAAGGGCCUGCUGGCAACGUAGGACAAGGGUUGCGCUCGUUGCGGGACUUAACCCAACAUCUCACGACACGAGCUGACGACAGCCAUGCACCACCUGCACACCAACCUCUGCAGCUUUUCCCUAUAUUUCAAGCCCUGGUAAGGUUCUUCGCGUUGCGUCGAAUUAAGCCACAUGCUCCACCGCUUGUGCGGGCCCCCGUCAAUUCCUUUGAGUUUCAGCCUUGCGGCCGUACUCCCCAGGCGGGGCACUUAACGCGUUAGCUGCGGCACCGAAGGGGUCGCUCCCCCCGGCACCUAGUGCCCAUCGUUUACGGCGUGGACUAC
rnacentral:misc_RNA from 1 species